UGAUUCUACCUAAUGGCCCAGUGAUUAGAGCUUCCACCUCAAAUGUGGGAGGUCGUAGGUUCGAUUCCCGGUCGAGUCAU